UAAGCUACAACAUUUGCAAGGGGCAGGGUUUGUUGUGUCUGGCACCAUUUGUUUCAGGUUAUUUCCAGUUCUUCAGGCUAACAACACUUACACUCCAUACUGAAAACUUCACUUUUCUUGGACUUGAUGUUAAAUUGGUCUUUUCAACAAUUUCCUUUUGUUCAAGCUUCAGCUGAACCUGUCAGUGAUUCAGAUUGGUUUAGGUCAGUUUAGGCCCAGACAGUGUGAUCUAUCUUGGCAGUGGUGAUCACAAUAUUUCAUGAGGACUUUUUAUUUUUUUUAGAUUUUAGGGAAGUAAAGCAACUCAAAUUAAGUAAAAGUAAGUAGACUAGUUUUUUUUUUCAUACUUACCAUGGAUGAAGCUACUGGAGAAGGGCUAAGGAGCUGCAUCUGGCCCUAGAGCCACAGGUUGCCCACCCCUGACCUGAACAAACUAAUACAUGACACAUAUUGAACAUGAGGUCCAUGCAUGUGGCUCUGGACCUGCUGGAAAACAGUCCAUCUGUUUUCUGGUACAGUUAAUAUGUUUGAACCUGCCACGCUAACAACAAUAUCCAGUACUUGUGUAUGCAGCAUUUACAUUCAUUUCAUUGUACAGGUGAGUUUAUAUGGAGCCCAGUAUUUGAAGAUGAAACUAAAAAACUUCUCUUAUAUGUGUUGAUUCCCAGGAUUUUGGCUGAUGUCAUGUUUUAGGCCCUGAUAGGAUAUGCCCAGUGCUCACUUGAAAUGCAUUAACAGUGUUUUUGGUAAAAUACCUUGUCCUCAGCCUAGUUUAUCAUUUGAAGGAGUAUGCACAGAUGCUUUUGUAAGGUUGGUGUAAAUCAUGCACAAUAGAUUUGUAAUGGUAUGAAGCUAUUUUAUUCCUUUCAUAGCCCCAUACGCUAAAAACAAAUACCCUGCUGUUUAACUCCUCUUAUCAGUGCGACUCCACUGCCUGAUGGGCAGAUGAGGAAGACAGUGAACAAUGCCAAGUGGAGGCGCUACCUCCUCAGCUUUAUCCUCACACCCAUUUAAGAAAGAUCAGACCAAGUAAAUACUGUAAGACAGGGUUCAGUAAAAAAUAAAAAGGACAAUGGUGGUGUUUUUUGGAAAACCUGAUGUUUUUAUGUUCCGAAGUUGAACCCUAAUGGUAGAAUAUAACAAAUUUGUAUGCACACAUCUACUUAUAAGCACCUUUUAUACUCUAGAUUUUAUAUAUUUACCUGUACAUGACAUCAAAGACGCAGCAGCAAAAGAAAAUCUUGUAAAAUACAUAAUGUUCAAUUACAGGACAUUAAAUACUCUGAAGGUAUUUUUUUUUCUUGGUUUCUACUGGAAACACCUUAAAGUACUGAUCAAUGCAACAAAUGGCUUCAGUGCUGUAAAUCCGUGCUCCCAACCCACAAACAAAUGAGGGGUUUGAAUGAAUAUUUGCAUGCAGCUUUAGCCUCGUGAGAACCACUUGUUUUUCUUUGUCUGUAGCUAGAAAGGUAACAUGUGACUUUGUGCUUUGUGGCCAAUUAUAAGAAUGCAUGGAAAUUAAACUAAUGGACUGGAAAUAGUCAGCUGCAUUUCAUUUAUCUGUAUGGAAAUGUCCCUUUGCGAUAUUGUUCAGUGCAUAAAUAAAUGUUCAUAAUUAUAUCAAAGUAUUUAGUCAUAGCUUUCUUGCACAGAAACAAAUGGGCACAGUUGGAUGAUGCAUGUAUAGACUCCCCUGGUAAACAUACAGGUCAAAACCUAUAGUCUAUAAAUUACAAACUUAAUAUAGUUUUUGAACUCACCUUUGAGAAAGGGGAAAUUCCCACCCAAGUUAUGUG